GACGAACGCUGGCGGCGUGCUUAACACAUGCAAGUCGAGCGGUAAGGCCCUUUCGGGGGUACACGAGCGGCGAACGGGUGAGUAACACGUGGGUGACCUGCCCUCAGCUCUGGGAUAAGCCUGGGAAACUGGGUCUAAUACCGGAUAUGACUCCAUGACGCAUGUUGUGGGGUGGAAAGCCUUGUGCGGCUGAGGAUGGGCCCGCGGCCUAUCAGCUUGUUGGUGGGGUGAUGGCCUACCAAGGCGACGACGGGUAGCCGGCCUGAGAGGGCGACCGGCCACACUGGGACUGAGAUACGGCCCAGACUCCUACGGGAGGCAGCAGUGGGGAAUCUUGCGCAAUGGGCGAAAGCCUGACGCAGCGACGCCGCGUGAGGGAUGACGGCCUGG
rnacentral:rRNA from 1 species